UACGUAGGGUGCAAGCGUUACUCGGAAUUACUGGGCGUAAAGCGUGCGCAGGCGGUUUUUUAAGUCUGACGUGAAAUCCCCGGGCUCAACCUGGGAAUUGCGUUGGAGACUGCAAGGCUGGAGUCUGGCAGAGGGGGGUAGAAUUCCACGUGUAGCAGUGAAAUGCGUAGAGAUGUGGAGGAACACCGAUGGCGAAGGCAGCCCCCUGGGUCAAGACUGACGCUCAUGCACGAAAGCGUGGGGAGCAAACAGG
rnacentral:rRNA from 1 species